rnacentral:rRNA from 2 species
UACAGAGGGUGCGAGCGUUGUCCGGAAUCACUGGGCGUAAAGGGCGUGUAGGCGGCUGGGUAAGCCGCGUGUGAAAUCCCGGGGCUCAACCCCGGAACGGCACGCGGGACUGUCCGGCUAGAGAAUGGUAGAGGCGAGUGGAAUUCCUGGUGUAGCGGUGGAAUGCGUAGAGAUCAGGAAGAACACCGGUGGCGAAGGCGGCUCGCUGGGCCAUUUCUGACGCUGAGGCGCGAAAGCGUGGGGAGCAAACAGG